AUUGAACGCUGGCGGCAGGCCUAACACAUGCAAGUCGAGCGGAUGAGUGGAGCUUGCUCCAUGAUUCAGCGGCGGACGGGUGAGUAAUGCCUAGGAAUCUGCCUGGUAGUGGGGGACAACGUUUCGAAAGGAACGCUAAUACCGCAUACGUCCUACGGGAGAAAGUGGGGGAUCUUCGGACCUCACGCUAUCAGAUGAGCCUAGGUCGGAUUAGCUAGUUGGUGAGGUAAAGGCUCACCAAGGCGACGAUCCGUAACUGGUCUGAGAGGAUGAUCAGUCACACUGGAACUGAGACACGGUCCAGACUCCUACGGGAGGCAGCAGUGGGGAAUAUUGGACAAUGGGCGAAAGCCUGAUCCAGCCAUGCCGCGUGUGUGAAGAAGGUCUUCGGAUUGUAAAGCACUUUAAGUUGGGAGGAAGGGCAGUCAGUUAAUACCUGGUUGUUUUGACGUUACCAACAGAAUAAGCACCGGCUAACUUCGUGCCAGCCGCCGCCGUAAUAC
rnacentral:rRNA from 1 species